GUCGCCAAACCGGCCGCCUCCUUCCGCUUUCUCAGGCGUGUCUCCACAGCGUCGAGACGUGCCACUGCCUAGCGGUGCCUAUUUUCACGCAAGAUCACAGCGACAGUAGCAGAUUCCACCUGUAAGCAGAAUCGAGUAUGAAAGAAGAUUUGGCUGUCGGCUUUGCCGGAAGGCUCGCAGCGAACGUCAGCCAUCGUUGAACGCUGCGGUUUUGUCUAAUCUUGGU